rnacentral:tRNA from 1 species
AAGAUGCUAGUAAACCAUUACAUAGCCUCGUCAGCGCUAAAUGAAAGGCCCCACCCCUUUGCAUCUUU